GGAAAAUAACGCUACAGGACAACACAAGGAGGAGUAAAGCAAGUUCCUUUGCUAAUGGAAAAAGUCUCCUAAAAUAAGUUUGAGAAUUGGGAAAGAUCCCUGUCUCUGUGAUGCUGCUGAAGCCAGCCAGCCAGCCAGCCAGCCAGUGUUGACCACGCACCGGUUCUGCUGACGCCAGGCAUCCAAGGAGCCCAAGGUCAUUUUGCCACACAGCUGGAGGACCAAAGAUCUGUAAAUGGACACAUGCAAAUGGAAAAUGAAUGAUAUCAUCCUCAACCAGGGAAAGAUUCUUGAGGACCAGGAGAGAAGAAGCAAAGAACCCCAACUAGGAAAGGAGGAUAAAAUUCUAUAAGGAUCCCUGCAGGGGAUCUAUGUGGUGCUUCCAUGGCUGUGUCCCUAGGAAGUGGCUAGCUCUCAGGAGAUGACUGUGUCUCUCACAGCCUCAUCAAAGUUCCUGUGACCUGGAGGUAGCAAUAUGAUAAAAGCCAAAGGAAUAAAGAGCACCAGAACAAUGGACAGCUUGAUGGUAAUGAGUGUUGACAGACAACCUCUGAGCCAGGAAGAGGACUGCUUGACACCACCUUGGAGAAUAACCAGAGUGACCAGAGAAGAGAGAGCAAAGUGAAGAGUAGUGCAAAAUAAACUGAAAGGGAAACCUUCUUGUUAUCUGGGUCUGUCCUGAUAAUCUACUCAGCAUAUAGGCAGCAAGAAGGCUGGGUUGAUUUCAUCCAUCAUUACCCUCAGAGAAAUGGUUUUCUUCCUGAAAGUGAAUGCCAUGGGGUCUUGUCAUCUACUUGUGUCCUCCUUUCCUUCUUGCUGUCUCCCCUCUCUUCUUUCCAUUUAAAGAAGUAUGCCCAUAACCAAUAUUUAUUGAGGUCUUCCUAGGAAACAGAAUUAUCAGGCUAUGCCACUUAAAACUUGUGUAGCUUUGUGUUAGUCACCUAAUCAAGCCUCAUUUUACUCAUUAAUAAAGAGAAUAGUAAUAAUAAUCCUUCCCAAGAGGACUACAGAGAAGGAUACUGUCUGUGAAGCACCUAUCACAGAAUCUGGCUGAAUACAUGGUAGUCAAUACAAUGCAUGGUAGCCAUCAUCAUGGUUCAUUGUGCUGACAGGCAAUAGACAUUGGGCCUGAAUGGUUAACAAGCCAAGAUUCCUGAUUUCAUGAAAUAUUCAGACCUUUUACUUCUACCUUGACUUAGAUUCCCUGGUCUGAUAUGCCUCCUGGCUAGGCUAUAAUACAUUUCUGAAUGAGUAUAUUCUUAUACUCUUAUGAUAAUGUAUCCAAAGAAUGGCAAAUGAUAUGUAAAGGCUUAAAAAAAGAUGAACCUACCACAAGACAUUUUAUUAAAGCAGGAAGAAAUUUUCAGUUGAAAAAAUAUUAGUUGAAAAAAGUAUUAAGGAUGCCCCGGUGGCCCAGUGGUUUAGUGCCUCCCUUCCGCCCAGGCUUUGACCCUGGAGACCUGGGAUCGAG